AGUGAACGCUGGCGGUAGGCCUAACACAUGCAAGUCGAACGGCAGCACAGUAAGAGCUUGCUCUUACGGGUGGCGAGUGGCGGACGGGUGAGGAAUACAUCGGAAUCUACUUUUUCGUGGGGGAUAACGUAGGGAAACUUACGCUAAUACCGCAUACGACCUACGGUUGAAAGCAGGGGAUCUUCGGACCUUGCGCGAUUGAAUGAGCCGAUGUCGGAUUAGCUAGUUGGCGGGGUAAAGGCCCACCAAGGCGACGAUCCGUAGCUGGUCUGAGAGGAUGAUCAGCCACACUGGAACUGGGACACGGUCCAGACUCCUACGGGAGGCAGCAGUGGGGAAUAUUGGACAAUGGGCGCAAGCCUGAUCCAGCCAUACCGCGUGGGUGAAGAAGGCCUUCGGGUUGUAAAGCCCUUUUGUUGGGAAAGAAAAGCAGCAGGUUAAUACCCCGCUGUUCUGACGGUACCCAAAGAAUAAGCACCGGCUAACUUCGUG
rnacentral:rRNA from 1 species